ACAUACUUCUUUAUGCGUCCAUA
rnacentral:miRNA from 1 species